GACGAACGCUGGCGGCGUGCUUAACACAUGCAAGUCGAGCGGUAAGGCCCUUUCGGGGGUACGACGAGCGGCGAACGGGUAGGAGUAACACGUGGGUGACCUCGCCCUCAGCUCUGGGAGUAAGCCUGGGAAACCGGGUCUAAUACCGGAUAUGACUCCAUGACGCAUGUUGGUGGGGUGGAAAGCCUUGUGCGGCUGAGGAUGGGCCCGCGGCCUAUCAGC
rnacentral:rRNA from 1 species